rnacentral:lncRNA from 1 species
UCCCCUUAUUUGAUGUCAGAGGGAAGGAAACCCCCAACCUGUCCCCACUGAGGCAUCCCACAGUGCCUAUAAUAAUUAGUACUGUGGUCUCAUGCCUUUUCCUAUAUGAGACAAUUUUCCCUUCAAUUUAGUAUUCAAGGUGUACAUGAGUAUAUAUAUAGGCAGCAUUGGUGUUAAAAAUCAACGUAGCUCUCCUGGAAGUGAAAAUGCUGUUACUCUAUUUCUUCUUGUUGAGUUGCUGUCUAUCUGUCUCUAUGGGCAGUGCAAUAGAAGAAUUUGAAGCGAACUUCAAGACUUUAGUGGAUCUAGCAAAGAAGGAGAUCUUUGUUCAAGUACCAGCAGGCAGAUUUAAGUGCAACUGUGUUCGUUAUCACCUUAAUAAUACCAUGGAACAGCUGAAAUCAGCAAAAGACUUGAAGAAUGACCAAAUGACAGAAUAUAUUUAUGUGAUGGAGAAAAACAUGGCCCACAUAAUAAGAAACUUAAAUAAAAUAUAUACAGAAUCUAAGGAAGACCAUUCCUGUCCAGAGAAAGAGGUAUUUCUUCCGAUUGCCCAGAAACUCUAUCAAAAAUUCUUUGAAAAUCUGAAUGAAAAGAAUCACUGUGCUUGAAAAGCCAGCUGGACACGUGGUUUAUACAACACUAUAGCUAGUUCUGACAACAUACUGCAAAUCUACCAGGGAACUCCAUGAAGAGACAGCACAACAUUAACAUGAAUGUUUUAUAUAUAUUAUGGGAUAUUUAUAGCUUUAUUUCUUAUUGCAGCUAUUUAUGUAUUUAUUUAAUUUAUAGAGAACGUUUGUAUUUUUAUGGAGUUGUAACGUUCAAAGUGAUAGUGAAUGACAGAAGUAUUUAAAGUUAUUCAUUCUAUUGUAUUUUUGUGUGAUAUAAUAUUUAGUAUGUAUGUUAAGGCCUGAAUAAAACUGUGAGUGAAAUUAAAAAAUAUAUAGAU